rnacentral:rRNA from 1 species
GACGAACGCUGGCGGCGUGCUUAACACAUGCAAGUCGAACGCUGAAGCUCAGCUUUUGUUGGGUGGAUGAGUGGCGAACGGGUGAGUAACACGUGAGUAACCUGCCCCCUUCUUUGGGAUAACGCCCGGAAACGGGUGCUAAUACUGGAUAUUCACUGGUCUUCGCAUGGGGGUUGGUGGAAAGGGUUUUUCUGGUGGGGGAUGGGCUCGCGGCCUAUCAGCUUGUUGGUGGGGUGAUGGCCUACCAAGGCUUUGACGGGUAGCCGGCCUGAGAGGGUGACCGGUCACAUUGGGACCGAGAUACGGCCCAGACUCCUACGGGAGGCGGCAGUGGGGAAUAUUGCACAAUGGGCGCAAGCCUGAUGCAGCGACGCCGCGUGAGGGAUGGAGGCCUUCGGGUUGUGAACCUCUUUCGCUCAUGGUCAAGCCGCAACAAUGGUUGUGGUGAGGGUAGUGGGUAAAGAAGCGCCGGCUAACUACGUG